UACGGGGGGGGCAAGCGUUGUUCGGAAUUACUGGGCGUAAAGGGCUCGUAGGUGGCCAACUAAGUCAGACGUGAAAUCCCUCGGCUUAACCGGGGAACUGCGUCUGAUACUGGAUGGCUUGAGUUUGGGAGAGGGACGCGGAAUUCCAGGUGUAGCGGUGAAAUGCGUAGAUAUCUGGAGGAACACCGGUGGCGAAGGCGGCGUCCUGGACCAAUACUGACGCUGAGGCACGAAAGCGUGGGGAGCAAACAGG
rnacentral:rRNA from 1 species